GCCUUGCUAUGAUGGUGUCUUUUCCGUGUACACUCCCCCUCACAUUGUAUUAAUCAAUUUCUCCUAUCUAUAGAUUUCGCACGUCAUUCAUCACAACUGCCUUAUCUGAACGUGUGGUGGGCUGAGGAACGUUUAAAUAUCGUACUUGUAGCCUCAGAUCACUCGCAAGAUACAAGACAAAGAGGGACACGCAAGAUUUACACGAGGUAUGAAUUUUGAAAAUAGUAGCUUAUAGUUGUUUUUCAUAUGCGUUCGGUUAGUAUACAUCAAUUAUCAAUCCACAGCUUUCGGUUAGCAUAUUAACGGCCUGCUUUCUACUUCAACCGUAUAUCGCGCAACGUGUCGUAGCUUUUUCUUUUGUAUUACAGUUCCCAUUUCCAAAAACUUAUCACAGUCAUAGAAAAUUUGUUGUAAGAACACAUGAAAAUUUAUCAUAUGCAUGGAGAACUUGCUUGAUCGUAACCAGUUUAAUUGAAAAACAUGUUUUGAAAAAACAUUCAGAGACAACUGUUCCGCCUUCAAAUCUUCAUGUUUACCCAAUUUAAAUUAAAAACGUCAAUAUAGUAGCACAGAAUGGAUCCUUAUUUUGUGAUUGUAGUCUGACAGGGAAUUCUGCUAGAAAGGAAAUUGCAAAUGUCAGUUGAUAGCCUUCGCUUGCAAGUAUUGUAUUCUAAUAUAAUAUUUAAUCAACAUAAAUACCAGUUUCGGUAUACAUACAGUAGUGAUAGACUACUUUAUUAAAUGAGUUUCACAAAUUAUCAGAACUAUAUUUUGCAAUCAUGCAGAGUCAUAAUUCUUUGCCUUGCAUAGCCAUUAUAUCAGUAAAAAUAUCUUGAUGAUUAAAUGAAGAGAACGAAGAUUUUUUUACAAAGAUUAUUUAUAAAAUCAACUCUAUAAGCCAUUGCUGAGUUUUGAAUUGCUGCAGGACAUUAAAAAAUGUCGUCCGUCUUCGAUCUCAUUUAGAUCACAAUGUUGACAUACUCUAUCACUGUACUAAACAUUGUUGUAAUUUCAACCGGAUAUAUAUGUUUAAGGUUAUACUUAAACUGCAACUAUAUAACUAGCUUGUGGAGUUGUGGGCUUGCUUGAAAAGUACCGUUUAUGCAUGUAAAAGAGUGUUCAUGAAAUUCUGAGAUCAAAUAAUGCAGUUUAGUUUUUCAACGAGAGAGCUUUGCCUUUCGUCUCUUUAUUAAAUAAAGACGACAGACAGUGUUAUACAUUAUACCAUUGUUUGAUUUAUUUGUUGAUGUCUAGCUUGAUAUAAUUAUCAUUCUUUAAUUCUGUUCAGUUUAUGGAAUAUGCAUGGACUAUACAAAAUAAACAUCAAACACGUACAGUAUAAAAUUUGACAACUGUAAUAGUGUUGAAUGUAGAACUGAUAUAGAUCAUUACACGCAUACUGAUUAGCCGAGUGCACAUUUCAUGUUAUUUUUUUAAAUUCAUGAAUGAAAAUUAAGAUAUCAAGGGACUUAAAAUUCAAUUUCCUAGCGUCUUUUUGUGUUUGAAUUUGAAGAGUAAACAUGUUGAUCAAUUGCUGAUAAGCAAAAGCGAUAAUGAUAAUGAAAAUGUGUUUGGCAAAUUUAAAUUUUAAGAGUCACAUAAAUUAUGCAUGUCUAUUAUGUGAGAAAAAUAUAUUUUUCAAAUCGCACUGCACGUGUUAUAUUUCGUGGCGCUGUUUAAUUUAUUUUUUUCUUAAGUCUUCCGGAAGUUAGUAUGGCGUUUUCGAGGGGAAAAUCACUCCAAAAGUGUACACUUUCACGAAAAGUCUGUGAAAUUCAAUGCAAAAAUCCACUAAUAUAUAUAUCAAUACAUUUCAUAUACUGUAUAUAUAUAUAUAUAUAUAUAAUAUAUAUAUAUAUAUAUAUAUAUAUAUAUAUAUAUAUAUAUAUAUAUAUAUAUAUAUAUAUAUAUAUAUAUAUAUAUAUAUUUAUAUAUAUAUCCAGGGUGUAUCAAAAAAAAACCUGAACAGAUUUAAAAUUGCUCUCAAUUUCGCAAAACAUAUAUAUAUAUAUAUAUAUAUAUAUUUAUAUAUAUAUACAGGGUGUAUCAAAAAAAAACCUGAACAGAUUUAAAAUUGCUCUCAAUUUCGCAAAACAGCUAUUUGUAUCUGUUUUUUAUAUAUAUAGCUUCUUUGGGUACUUAUAAUGUAAAAUAAUGAAAAAAAUUUCUCGAACUCAAAUUUUUUGAACCAGGGGGUUCCAACAAACUAAAAAUGGCUUGCGCACAAAAUUUAAAUCUGCAAUCAUAUUUUGAGUUGACAGAUGGCAAAUUUGUCGGGAUUUUCAUUACUGUACAAAAUUUCAGACUAUUUGGUUUAGUUUAAGCCCGUUAACUAUUCACUCAAAGUUACAAUUUUCCCGAAAAAUCAGCUAUUUGCAUGCUUAAUUAAUACAUUUGCCUAAUUUGCAUAUGUCAGCAAUAUGCAAAAUAGGUAAAUACAUUAAUUAAGCAUGCGAAAGGCUGACUUUUUAGAACAAAAUGAAUAGUUAAAGGACUUAAACUGAACCAAAUUGUCUGAAAUUUUGUACAGUAAUUAAAAAUCCGACAAAUUUUCAAUGUAUCAACUCAAAAUAUUAUUACAGCUUUUAAAUUUUGUGCGCGAGCCAUUUUUAGUUUGUUGGAAAAGACACCCCCCCUGGUUCACAAAAUUUGAGUUCGAGAAAUUUUUUUCAUUAUUUUACAUUAGAAGUACCCAAAGAAGCUAUAUAUUUAAAAAAACAUUUUAUGAUUGGCAUGCCUCUUCUUGUAUGCUAUACGAUACUUGUUGAUAAACAUUUACUGUCAAGCGGACAUUUGUCUUUAACAUGACAGUUACACGUUUCUUUCUUUUCUGGCUCGUUCUUUUUUCGAAGCAGGUGUUGAUUGCGGUUGGAAAUAACGUUCUUGAUGUUGCUCAUGCACGAGUAGCUCACUUUCAGUACGCUGUUUCUAUUGAAGAUCUUGUAGAGGCGGGAUGUUCUGGGGAAAUGCUUGUCAAUUAGUUGAAGGAAGUUACGAGCAAUGUUCGUUUUAACAUUCUUGCUGAACGGGGGGUUGAACCAUAUAAUUUUUCUUUUCCGCCUCCUCGUCUUUGAUGAUGGUGUAUCGUCACAGUUUUCAUCAGCCGAGUAUUGUUGUAUUGUAAUUACUACUGGCGUAGUGCGUUCUGGUAGAAAGGCGCGGAUAAGUUGAAUGAAGUUUGGUCGGACGAUAAGGUGGAGAUUCGUUUGUUAAUUGCUUCCGGGAUGUGCUUUAUGACAGAAGGUGGACGAUUUGAACGACUGUCUACAUAGAGGGGAUCGUUGUUCGGUUUUCGGUAUGGGGAGAAUGUUUCUUCUUGCAGAUUCAAUGUAAUGUCAAGAAAGUUAACGAUGUGAUUGUUAUAAACAUUCACAUCGUUAACGUUAAUAGUAACGAUGUGAUUCACUGAGUUGAGCAAACUCUCAUGCAAACUCUCGCUUCUCAACUUUGACUGAGUUAAGGAAACUCUCAUACAAACUCUCGCUUCUUAACUCUCAUCAACUCCCAUACAACUCUUGUUCUCGUUUGACUGAGGAGUUAACGAUGUGAUUGUUAUAAACAUUCACAUCGUUAACGUUAAUAGUAACGAUGUGAUUCACUGAGUUGAGCAAACUCUCAUGCAAACUCUCGCUUCUCAACUCAAACUCUCAUGCAAACUCUCGCUUCUCAACUUUGACUGACUUAUCAACUCAUUAACUCUCAUGCAACUCAGCUUGUUCUCGUUUGAUCGUGGCUUGAAAGUUGAGAAAACUCUCAUCGGCAUGCAUGAUGCAAACUCUCGCUUCUCAACUCUCAUGCAACUCUUGUUCUCGUUUGACAAUUUAGGGAUUAAGAGAUAACUGUAUAAACAUAGCGCGUGAAGUCAUUGUUUAGUCAUCAUAUACAAACCAUGAACGUUUACCAAAUACUUAACAUGAUAAACAUUCGUGUCAUUUCAUGAAUAUUUAAAAUUUCAAACUGUUUGUUUUGUUCAAGUUGUUUUCGAAAAAUUUCUAUCGAAGAAUCGGUGUUUUUAGUACUUUGCAGCUGCAAUCUCGUAUCCCGUUGUGACAGCUAGACCGGUCUUUAAAUAUGAACAAAUAUCGCCUUCUCUUACAGUUGUUCGGGUGUUUGUCGAAAGUGCAACAGCGUUCGUGAAGCGUGGAUGAGAGUAUACAAUAGCGAGAGCUUUCGUCUGCGACAAAGCAAGUUCGAUUUCAGUGUUUCAACGUUUUCAAGGUGAGUUUUAAGUUGUCGGGGACAU
rnacentral:lncRNA from 1 species